rnacentral:rRNA from 1 species
CCUACGGGGGGCAGCAGUGAGGAAUAUUGGUCAAUGGACGAGAGUCUGAACCAGCCAAGUAGCGUGAAGGAUGACUGCCCUCUGGGUUGUAAACUUCUUUUAUAUGGGAAUAAAAUGUUCCACGUGUGGGAUUUUGUAUGUACCAUAUGUAUAAGGAUCGGCUAACUCCGGGCCAGCAGCCGCGGUAAUACGGAGGAUCUGAGCGUUAUCCGGCUUUAUUGGGUUUAAAGGGAGCGUAGGUGGAUUGGUAAGUCAGUUGUGAAAGUUUGCGGCUCAACCGUAAGAUUGCAGUUGAAACUGGCAGUCUGGAGUACAGUAGAGGUGAGCGGAAUUCGUGGUGUAGCGGUGAAAUGCGUAGAUAUCACGAAGAACACCGAUUGCGAAGGCAGUUCACUGGACUGCAACUGACACUGAGGCUCGAAAGUGUGGGUAUCAAACAGGAUUAGAUACCCGUGUAGUC